rnacentral:rRNA from 1 species
AAGGGAUUGACUUUCCUCAUCAUCCUCACCGCUUGGUGGCUUCGAAAGCAUCGGAACACAUGCAUCUUCAACGGCGGUCGACCUUCGAUUUCCCGUCUCUCCAACAUCAUCAAAGAGGAGUUGCGCCUUUGGGCAAAGGCCGAUGCAACCGGGAUCAAAAACAUCAUCCAAGAGACUUAG